GAGAACUGUAUUUCUGAAAGAUGGAAUGAAGGAGUAACGUCCUGAAACGUCUUCCCUAAUACUCCGAUAUGCGAUUAGAUUCUAACUAAA
rfam:Cetobacterium somerae ATCC BAA-474 genomic scaffold Scaffold109, whole genome shotgun sequence.